AAGGCAUCACUUUGUCCGGACUCUAAUUCAAAUUGUAUUCAUCCGAUCUUCACCAAACUUGGUCAGCAGUUGCAUCUAGUUGAUAUCUAGGCCAAGUUCGAAUAUGGGUCAUGCCGGGUCAAAAACUAGGUCAUAGGGUCAAUUAGUGCAUUUUCAACGGCGCCACUUUGUCCGGACUCUAAUUCAAAUAGUUUUCAUCCGAUCUUCACCAAACUUGCUCAGAAGUUGAGUCUAGACAAUAUCUAGGCCAAGUUGGAAUAUGGGUCGUGCCGGGUCAAAAACUAGGUCAUGGGGUCACUUAGUGCAUUUCAAGGAUUUCAUGGUGUCCGCUCUCUAAAUGAAGUAGUUUUCACCCGAUCUUCACCAAAUUUGGUCAAAAGUUGUGUCUAUAUGAUAUGUAGGUCAGGUUUAAAUAUGGGUCAUGCCGGGUCAAAAACUAGGUCACGAGGUUACUUAGUGCAUUUCAAGCAUUUAGCAUGGUGUCCGCUCUCUAAUUGAAGUAGUUUUCAUCUGAUCUUCACCUAAUUUGGUUACAAGUUGUGUCUAGAUGAUAUGUAGGUCAAGUUCGAAUAUGGGUCAUGCCCGGUCAAAAACGAGGUCACAUGGUGCAUUUAAAGCAUUUAGCAUGGUGUCCGCUCUCUAAUUGAAGUAGUUUUCAUCUGAUCUUCACCAAAUUUAGUCAGAUGUUACAUCUAAAUGAUAUCUAGGUCAAGUUCAAAUAUGGGUCAUGCCAAGUCAAUAACUAGGUCUUGAGGUCACUUAGUGCAUUUCAAGCAUUGAGCAUGGUGUCCAAAACCUUCGAACGGGCGUAUCUUGUGACAGUUUGGCACUCUUGUUCUC